rnacentral:rRNA from 1 species
UCUCCUACGGGAGGCAGCAGUGGGGGAUAUUGCACAAUGGGGGAAACCCUGAUGCAGCGACGCCGCGUGUGGGAAGACGGUCCUCUGGAUUGUAAACCACUGUCCCCAGGGACGAAGAUGACGGUACCUGGGGAGGAAGCUCCGGCUAACUACGUGCCAGCAGCCGCGGUAAUACGUAGGGAGCGAGCGUUGUCCGGAAUUACUGGGUGUAAAGGGAGCAUAGGCGGGACUGCAAGUUGGGUGUCAAAUCUCCCGGCCCCA